AAGUCCAUCUCAGGAAAAACAAACAGACAAAAAAAACCCACUUGCCAGCCUUCCUACCCCUACCAUGUGCACCUCUGCCUUUACCCACCACUUUCACUAUACCUCUUCUCAAUGUGCACACAGAGCAUUAUUCACUUAUGUGCAUAAUGUUAUAAAAUUAUUUGGUGUUUUGAUAGACUGUUCAAAAUCAGGGAAAAAGCUGUGGGAAACAGAUGUAAUUGAGGUGAGUUUAUGCUAAGGGCAAAUUUCCAGCAAAGCUGGAUAGCCUACGUGAAAUCCACUCUUGCCCCCGAUCCUUAAUCUGCCCCCAAAAAUCUUCAUUUCAUUUCGUAACACUCUGAAAUCCCACCAGUUACAGACUUACUGGUAUCCCUUUUAAAAAAUGUAAACUAUAUGAAAGUUAAAGAGAUUAUUUACUAUUUGGACUCUGUGUAAAUUAAUUUAAUAGGACUAUUUUCCUCACAGAUUAGCUGAGAUCAACAGCACUACUGGAACUGGAAAUGCAGAUUAAAGGAGCACUGAAGCAAGCACUGGUUACGUAUGUAAUACUGGGAGUAAGUAGCUAACAUGGAAACCUGGUGAUACCAUGGCAGCACACUGUACGAGGAAGAACAUGGAUGGGCUCCUGAACACUCCUGGAUUUUAAUCUGGUUCUACCGCCUUUCCUGUGACCUUGCGCAAGUAACUUAACCUCUUCACAUCUCAAUUUGCUCUACUAUCAAGUAAGAUAAUAUUUCCCCACAAGGUUGUUAUGUAAGACAGAAUGACACAAGUGCCUUGCAUAUAACAGAUUCUUAAAAAAAAAAAAAAAAAAAAAAAAAGCCAGUUUACCUCUGUUCCAUGUUCAUUAUUGAGGCAAGAACAAAAGGCACCAAGGAAGAGAAAGGAGUGGACUGGGUAGAAAAGAAGGAUGCAAAAGAGAAACUCCUGAAAAUUCCUCCUUGAAAACCGGGUUCAAUCAGGAGAAGAGACAGGAUCUUGCUGUACUGCCAAGCCUGGAGUGCAAUGCCACAAUCAUGGCUAUAGCAGCCUCGAACUACUGGGCUCAAGUGAUCCUUCCACCACCAUCUUCCAAGUAGCUGGUACUAUAGGUGCAUGCCACCAUGUCCAGCUAAUUUUUUAGGUUUUUUUGUAGAGACAGGGCCUUGCUAUAUUGCCCAGGCUAGUCUUGAACUCCUGGCCUCAACCAAUCCUCCCACCUCAGCCUCCCAAAGUGCUAGGAUUACAAGCACGAGCCACUGCACCUGGCUUCUUUUUACUUUUUAAUGCAGUUAAAAAUUACAUGUAUGUAUUACAUCUGUAGCCCACAUUAUAAUUCCAUUGAAGAGUGCUGAGAUAUAAUAUUGAUGUAUUAUUUCCAUCAUAGAAACUUGGAACAUUUUUAUUAUUUAGAAACAUGCUAUUUUAUACAUACACUGUUAUCUAUACUUCCAAAGAUAGUAAGUACGUACUCAUAAGAAGCUAUAUGUACAAGUUUUCUUAUUAAUUUGCUUGCUACUUGGUCAUUUAUUUUAUCUCUUACUCCUUGCUAAGGGACAAGUGGUAGCAGUCUCUAAAGGUUUAAAAAUAAUUACGUAAAAACACCAGUAUGCUAUGGCCUGUUAGUCUGACAAACAAUGAAUUGAUGUCUAAAAAUAAAGAACACAUUGUAA